rnacentral:misc_RNA from 1 species
UCCGAGUUGACCCCGGCAGUCUCCUAUGAGUCCCCACCAUCACGUGCUGGCAACAUAGGACGAGGGUUGCGCUCGUUGCGGGACUUAACCCAACAUCUCACGGCACGAGCUGACGACAGCCAUGCAGCACCUGUGCUGACUACCCUUGCGGGUUCAUUGCCGUUUCCGGUUCUUACCACCAGCAUGUCAAACCUGGGUAAGGUUCUUCGCGUCGCGUCGAAUUAAACCACAUGCUCCACCGCUUGUGCAGGCCCCCGUCAAUUUCUUUGAGUUUUAACCUUGCGGCCGUACUCCCCAGGCGGAUGACUUAAUGCGUUAGCUGCGCCACCGAAAGCCCAUGGCCCCCGACAGCUAGUCAUCAUCGUUUACGGCGUGGACUAC